rnacentral:rRNA from 1 species
GUCAUAUGCUUGUCUCAAAGAUUAAGCCAUGCAUGUCUCAGUACAAGCCAAAUUAAGGUGAAACCGCGAAAGGCUCAUUAAAUCAGUUAUGGUUCCUUAGAUCGUACCCACAAUUACUUGGAUAACUGUGGUAAUUCUAGAGCUAAUACAUGCAAACAGAGCUCCGACCGGAGACGGAAGGAGUGCUUUUAUUAGAUCAAAACCAAUCGGUGGCGGGUCCGCUCGUCAUCGUACAACUUGGUGACUCUGAAUAACUUUACGCUGAUCGCACGGUCAUCGCACCGGCGACGCAUCUUUCAAAUGUCUGCCUUAUCAACUGUCGAUGGUAGGUUCUGCGCCUACCAUGGUUGUAACGGGUAACGGGGAAUCAGGGUUCGAUUCCGGAGAGGGAGCCUGAGAAACGGCUACCACAUCCAAGGAAGGCAGCAGGCGCGCAAAUUACCCACUCCCGGCACGGGGAGGUAGUGACGAAAAAUAACGAUACGGGACUCAUCCGAGGCCCCGUAAUCGGAAUGAGUACACUCUAAACCCUUUAACGAGGAUCAAUUGGAGGGCAAGUCUGGUGCCAGCAGCCGC